GACUCCUUAACAGUGCCCUGCAGGCUCAGCAGCACUCUUUCUCAAUUUUUUAACUAUUUAGAAAGUUGGGCUGUUGAGACCGUUGGACAUUGACUGAUC